CGGUCGUCUUUUCUCCCCCCGUCCCCCGACACCCCGAAACCAUGGAAGCGCCUCCUCAGGGGAGCAGCCAGGUGCCUCCGAUCGCAACGACGUCACUGCACCCCAGAUUGAAAGAGGAGCUCCUGAGCCAAAGUAGCAGCGGGACCCAAAUCUCAAACGCCAGCGUUGUGUCCUUGGGAGAAGCCAUCAGGCAGAGGUCUCUCAUGACUCAGUUACAACAGCCCUGAAAGAUGGGACUUACGAGCGCAUUUCAUCGUCGUGACACCUUUGCAGCAACCCUCGUGGUCACAUGAUCC